UUUCUCUGUGCUCUUUAGAAAACCGUCAAUAAAGGUAACCAUCUUUUUGGGUGCCUGGGCAUGAUCAUUGCCCCAGAGUUUUAACAUAAGUCUCUACUAAAGUAUCCUGAUUUGCAAGAACUCAAAUGAUGCUGUUUUUGGACAGGGAGGUCAUGGGCCAAGUACAGAUGCGCAAAAGGAUGGAAUUAAGGUCUUACCUGAAUUCAGCUCCUUCCUCCAGUAUCUUGCUAAACAUCACCGACAACAUCCAAUUACACUGAUGAUAAUCUGUUUUUUACCCCAUUCUCUACAGCUGCAGCCUCCACUGGACUGGAAUUUGCCUUCCUAGUUCUUGAGUUGUCUUAGGCACUGCAUAAUAUG